rnacentral:rRNA from 1 species
AACGAACGCUGGCGGCAUGCCUAACACAUGCAAGUCGAACGAGACCUUCGGGUCUAGUGGCGCACGGGUGCGUAACGCGUGGGAACCUGCCCUUAGGUUCGGAAUAACUCCCCGAAAGGGGUGCUAAUACCGUAUAAUGUCUUCGGACCAAAGAUUUAUCGCCUUUGGAUGGGCCCGCGUUUGAUUAGCUAGUUGGUAGGGUAAAAGCCUACCAAGGCGACGAUCCAUAGCUGGUCUGAGAGGAUGAUCAGCCACACUGGGACUGAGACACGGCCCAGACUACUACGGGAGGCAGCAGUGGGGAAUAUUGGACAAUGGGCGAAAGCCUGAUCCAGCAAUGCCGCGUGAGUGAUGAAGGCCUUAGGGUUGUAAAGCUCUUUUACCCGGGAUGAUAAUGACAGUACCGGGAGAAUAAGCGCCGGCUAACUACGUG